rnacentral:rRNA from 1 species
CCUACGGUGAGCAGCAGUGGGGAAUAUUGGGCAAUGGGCGCAAGCCUGACCCAGCAACGCCGCGUGAAGGAAGAAGGCUUUCGGGUUGUAAACUUCUUUUGUCAGGGAAGAGUAGAAGACGGUACCUGACGAAUAAGCCACGGCUAACUACGUGCCAGCAGCCGCGGUAAUACGUAGGUGGCAAGCGUUGUCCGGAUUUACUGGGGGUAAAGGGCGUGUAGCCGGGUUGACAAGUCAGAUGUGAAAUCCUGCGGCUCAACCUAUGGCCUGCAUUUGAAACUGUAGUUCUUGAGUACUGGAGAGGCAGACGGAAUUCCUAGUGUAGCGGUGAAAUGCGUAGAUAUUAGGAGGAACACCAGUGGCGAAGGCGGUCUGCUGGACAGCAACUGACGCUGAGGCACGAAGGCCAGGGGAGCGAAAGGGAUUAGAUACCCCUGUAGUC